CCUCCCUCCCCUCCUCCCUCCUCCCCACUUCCUCUCCCCGCUGCCACCCACCCCAGUGCCUGCCUGGUCACAGACCAGGCUCAGGAAGCACACCCAUCGAGAAGUCUUCAUGUUCCAGCAUCAGCCUGCCCACCCCUGCCCCCAGCCAGGCUCCUACAGGGACAGGACACCACCCACCGGAGCUUAAACAACACGCUCCUUUCUCAGAGUCUGAAGCCUGAGAGUGCAGACCACAGGGAGGACUCUCUCCCGCCGGCUUGCGGCCGCUCCCUCUGUGACCUCUCCUUGUAAUGGCCCAAGCCCAUCGGGGCCCCACCCUCCUGGCCUCCUCUGACCCUGCUCACCUCCCCAAGGUCAACUCCAAAUCCAUCACCUGGGGGCUCAGGGGUCCCGUAUGUGAAGUCCAGCCCCCCUGCGGCCCAGGGCCGGCACUCGUGCCCGCAGCCCCUGCUCAGGACUGAGAAUCCCCAAGCCUCUUUCUGCGGACCAGAAAGACCCUCGUCCUGCGUGAGCAGAUGGGAUUCCGUUCAGGAUCUGGAGAGAAGAUCAUCCUGAUGGCCUGAGACGUCCUAAACCCGGGGUCGGGGUCCUUACAGGAGCCUCGACAGGCACAGAGAAGAUGGCAGAGGCUGGGCUGAAGCUUCCUCGGGCACCAGGAGCUUGAAGAGCAAAGGGUUCCCCCAGCGCCGGGGGGCACAGCCCCAGGCUCCCUGGGUGUCAGGCUCCGCCUUCCAAGACAGUGGGGCGACCGCUGGUCUUCAGUGUCCAGCAAACCACACAGGACCAGGCACGGGGCCCUGGAGGCCCGGCCAGGCUCAGGCCCACACCUGCCGCCUCGGGCCAGAGGGCUGAGCCCUAAAUAGGAGCUAAAUACAGGAAAACCAUGACAGAAGAAUCAGAGCUAAUUUUGUAAGGAAAGCUUGUUUGUAGAGAGUUUAAUUUUUGUUGUUGUUCCUUUGGGGUAAAAAAUAAGAAAAUAGAUUUCCCACUCCCGCGCAGAAUAAUUAUGUCAAUGUGGAUGGCGGAGGCUUCAUCUGCCCCAGCCCUGUACGAUUUCAUCAUUCUAGACGAUUAAAAUUUUUAAUCAAAGGUUUCAGUUAUUAAACUGCCUGAG